GGGGAUGAUCGGUUUCGACGGUGUGAGUCGCGACAGAUGAAGCGGGCCGAGGAUGCAAAGUUAUCUCGUAAACGCUCUUUGCAAAACAAUAAGUGCCGAAUCAAAGCGCACUGACUUCGCUCUCGCUGCCUAAGCAGCCAGACAGUCCGUUAGCCAGAGGUUUGCUAUCGCCUCUGAUCCUAACGUCAUUUAGAUAGCCACUGUAUCCAGCGGCCGUUACCGCUGUUGGGUACAUAUUUAGGUAACUGUGCCUGGAUCAACCACAUGUUUGCGUGAUGGUUGGGGCAGAGAAAAUCCGCAGCAAACUGCGCCCGGAGAAGACCUGGCAACACCACAUCGGACGGGAGUUCAAUUCUCCCCAUCUCCACGU
rnacentral:tmRNA from 2 species